rnacentral:rRNA from 1 species
CCAAUAGCGUAUAUUAAAGUUGUUGCAGUUAAAAAGCUCGUAGUUGAAUUUCGGGGUCAGCAAGUUGGUCGUGCCACUGGUAUGUACUGGCUUUACUGAUUCCUCCUUCUUGUAGAACCGUAAUGCCAUUAAUUUGGUGUUGCGGGGAAACAGGACUGUUACUUUGAAAAAAUUAGAGUGUUUAAAGCAGGCUAACGCCUGAAUACAUUAGCAUGGAAUAAUGAAAUAGGACGUUCGAUCCUAUUUUGUUGGUUUCUAGGGUUGACGUAAUGAUUAAUAGGGAUAGUUGGGGGCAUUAGUAUUCAAUUGUCAGAGGUGAAAUUCUUGGAUUUAUUGAAGACUAACUACUGCGAAAGCAUUUGCCAAGGAUGUUUUCAUUAAUCAAGAACGAAAGUUAGGGGAUCGAAGACGAUCAGAUACCGUCGUAGUCUUAACCAUAAACUAUGCCGACUAGGGAUCGGAUGAUGUUAAUUUUUUAAUGACUCAUUCGGCGCCUUACG